rnacentral:RNase_P_RNA from 1 species
UCAGCAGGCCGGAUGGCCGCUCUGCCAGUGUUGCGUAUCAAGGCGGAGAGGAAAGUCCGGGCUCCAUGGAAGCACGGUGCCGGAUAACCUCCGGCGGGGGCGACCCCAGGGAUAGUGCAACAGAAAGCAAACCGCCUCGCGACACCGGAGACGGAGUCGCUAGGUAAGGGUGAAAGGGUGCGGUAAGAGCGCACCGCGUCUUUGGUAACAAAGGCGGCACGGCAAACCCCACCGGGAGCAAGACCGAAUAGGGGCGGCGCGGACGGGCAACCGGCCAGUCUGUUUCCAGAUGAGCCGCCCGGGUUGGUUGCAUGAGGCGUCGCGCAAGCGGCGCCCAAGAUGAAUGGCCAUCACCUCGCCCCCCGUUGGUGGCGAGGUACAGAACCCGGCUUACAGGUCUGGUGACAUG